ensembl:lncRNA
CAGCAACACAGCAUGGCAGCAACACAUGACAACACAGCAUGGUAGCAACACAUGACAACACAGCAUGGUAGCAACACAUGACAACACAGGAUGGCAGCAACACGACAUGGCAGCAACACAUGACAACACAGCAUGACAACAACACGACAUGGUAGGAGCACAACAUGGACAAACAUUAUUGGGCACAGACAACGACACAAAGGCAAGAAGGUAGAGACAAAAAUAUAUCACGUGAAGCAGCCACAACUGUCAGUAAGAGUGUCCAUGAUUGAGUCUUUGAAUGAAGAGAUUGAGAUAAAACUGUCCAGUUUGAGUGUUUGUUGCAGCUCGUUCCAGUCGCUAGCUGCAGCGAACUGAAAAGAGGAGCGACCCAGGGAUGUGUGUGCUUUGGGGACCUUUAACAGAAUGUGACUGGCAGAACAGGUGUUGUAUAUGGAGGAUGAGGGCUGCAGUAGAUAUCUCAGACUGGGGGGAGUGAGGACUAAGAGGGUUUUAUAAAUAAACAUCAACCAGUGGG